rnacentral:rRNA from 1 species
UGGGGAAUAUUGGACAAUGGGCGCAAGCCUGAUCCAGCCAUGCCGCGUGUGUGAAGAAGGCCUUAUGGUUGUAAAGCACUUUAAGCGAGGAGGAGGCUACUUUAGUUAAUACCUAGAGAUAGUGGACGUUACUCGCAGAAUAAGCACCGGCUAACUCUGUGCCAGCAGCCGCGGUAAUACAGAGGGUGCGAGCGUUAAUCGGAUUUACUGGGCGUAAAGCGUGCGUAGGCGGCUAAUUGAGUCGGAUGUGAAAUCCCCGAGCUUAACUUGGGAACUGCAUCCAAAACUGGCGAGCUAGAGUAGGGCAGAGGGUGGUGGAAUUUCCUGUGUAGCGGUGAAAUGCGUAGAUAUAGGAAGGAACACCAGUGGCGAAGGCGACCACCUGGGCUCAUACUGACACUGAGGUGCGAAAGCGUGGGGAGCAAACAGG